GAUGAACGCUGGCGGCGUGCCUAAUACAUGCAAGUCGAGCGAAUGGAUUAAGAGCUUGCUCUUAUGAAGUUAGCGGCGGACGGGUGAGUAACACGUGGGUAACCUGCCCAUAAGACUGGGAUAACUCCGGGAAACCGGGGCUAAUACCGGAUAACAUUUUGAACCGCAUGGUUCGAAAUUGAAAGGCGGCUUCGGCUGUCACUUAUGGAUGGACCCGCGUCGCAUUAGCUAGUUGGUGAGGUAACGGCUCACCAAGGCAACGAUGCGUAGCCGACCUGAGAGGGUGAUCGGCCACAAUGGGACUGAGAAACGGCCCAGACGCCUACGGGAGGCAGCAGUAGGGAAUCUUCCGCAAUGGACGAAAGUCUGACGGAGCAACGCCGCGUGAGUGAUGAAGGCUUUCGGGUCGUAAAACUCUGUUGUUAGGGAAGAACAAGUGCUAGUUGAAUAAGCUGGCACCUUGACGGUACCUAACCAGAAAGCCACGGCUAACUACGUGCCAGCCGCCGCGGUAA
rnacentral:rRNA from 1 species